rnacentral:rRNA from 1 species
AUUGAACGCUGGCGGCAGGCUUAACACAUGCAAGUCGAGCGGGGUGAUGGUGCUUGCACUAUCACUUAGCGGCGGACGGGUGAGUAAUGCUUAGGAAUCUGCCUAUUAGUGGGGGACAACAUCUCGAAAGGGAUGCUAAUACCGCAUACGUCCUACGGGAGAAAGCAGGGGAUCACUUGUGACCUUGCGCUAAUAGAUGAGCCUAAGUCGGAUUAGCUAGUUGGUGGGGUAAAGGCCUACCAAGGCGACUAUCUGUAGCGGGUCUGAGAGGAUGAUCCGCAACACUGGGACUGGGACACGGCCCAGACUCCUACGGGAGGCAGCAGUGGGGAAUAGUGGACAAUGGGGGGAACCCUGAUCCAGCCAUGCCGCGUGUGUGAAGAAGGCCUUAUGGUUGUAAAGCACUUUAAGCGAGGAGGAGGCUCUUUUGGUUAAUACCCAAGAUGAGUGGACGUUACUCGCAGAAUAAGCACCGGCUAACUCUGUGCCAGCCGCCGCCGUAA